UCUCUGGCAGCACUUUUAAAGAAAUUUCUGGAGAUUAUCAGGUCCAGUCAUGUGUGCAGAGAACCAGAGCUGACCUGGGUUCAGUUCUUAGAGGGAGCCGUCGACCACAACCUGCAGAAAGCCAAAGACCUCAUUCUCUAUAGGAUUGAGGUCUGGGCUUUGACUCGGCCACUCCAGAACAUUUACCUGGUUCUUUUUUAACCAUUCCUGUGUAGCUUUUGCAGUAUGUUUUGGAUCAUUGUCUUGCUGGAAAAUAAAUCUUCUCCCAAGACGUAGUUCUC